UGAGGAAUCUUGCGCAAUGGGCGAAAGCCUGACGCAGCGACGCCGCGUGGAGGAUGAAGGUCUUCGGAUUGUAAACUUCUGUUAAGUGGGAAGAAAAGCAGGGUUCAAAUAAAGCCCUGUGUUGACGGUACCAUUAGAGAAAGCACCGGCUAACUUCGUGCCAGCAGCCGCGGUAAUACGAAGGGUGCGAGCGUUAUUCGGAAUCAUUGGGCGUAAAGGGUGCGUAGGCGGUGCGUUAAGUCAGUUGUUAAAUCCCCCAGCCUAACUGGGGAUCGGCGGCAGAUACUGGCGUGCUUGAGGAUGGAAGAGAGAAGUGGAAUUCUUGGAGUAGCGGUAAAAUGCGUAGAUCUCAAGAGGAACACCAAUGGCGAAGGCAGCUUCUUGGUCCAUAACUGACGCUGAUGCACGAAAGCGUGGGGAGCAAACAGG
rnacentral:rRNA from 1 species